UACGUAGGGUGCGAGCGUUGUCCGGAAUUAUUGGGCGUAAAGAGCUCGUAGGCGGUGUGUCACGUCGGCCGUGAAAACCUGCAGCUUAACUGUGGGCGUGCGGUCGAUACGGGCAUCACUGGAGUUCGGCAGGGAGACUGGAAUUCCUGGUGAUGAGCGGUGAAAUGCGCAGACUAUCAGGAGGAACACCGGUGGCGAAGGCGGGUCUCUGGGCCGAUACUGACGCUGGAGGAAGCGAAAGCGUGGGGAGCAAACAGG
rnacentral:rRNA from 1 species